rnacentral:pre_miRNA from 1 species
CAACUACUCCCUCUGUCCCAAAUUUCUUGUCUUAGAUUUGUCUAGAUACGGAUGUAUCUAAUACUAAAAUGUGAUUUGAUACAUCCGUAUCUAGACAAAUCUAAGACAACAAUUUUGGGACGGGGGGAGUACUUU